rnacentral:piRNA from 1 species
UCCACAGUCUUUGAAUGGAAUAUACGUGA